GCCAUGUUUCUCUGACAGGGUUCUUCUGAGAAAGUAAUGUGGCGCUCCCGAUGCUAAUGUUAGCUUAAGUCAGUGGUGCAGCGAUGUCAUCUACUGACAGCAACACUGUGGGAGGGAUUCACGGGCUUCUUCUGAAACUUCACGAAUCACUUUCAGACGAAGACACCCGAGCGGCAGCUUUGAAAUGUCACGAUAUAGUCGGUGACUUGGGCCAUGAGUGCAUGCUAACACCGACCGAGAAUGAACUUGAUGGAAAUGAGUCGCUAUGCCGUCACAUUGGCUGGGCUUCGACUGUUUGCCAGACAUGCAUCCCAGUUCAGUAGCUGCCUUAUGGACCACUGCAGAGGUUUGUUUGAGGUCAUGUCUAAACUCUGCGGACACAUCAACCCUGAGAUGAAGAAGACAAGUUACUAUGCACUUGAGGCCUUCCUCAAACAGGUACAUUGCAGCAGUGCCAUUGAUCAUCUGAAAAGAAUCGUCAAACAAAAGGCCCCCAGCCUCAAUCAGCACAGUACUGAGAGACGCGUCCCAAGGUUGGUACACAGUAUGACCCUGAUCCAGCAGGGCGGCGUGCUGAUGAGCUCCAUGCUGCAGGCCAUGGUGGAGAGGGUCCUGCUGCCCCUUGCCUCUAACUGUAGCCCCAAGGCCCUGAAUGACUUCUUUGUGGCAAAUGUCUCCGACAUGACAGCUUUGCUGCUCAGCCGCUUCACUAAGUCAAAUGAAACAGAAUUUGAGAUCCAGUUGCUGAAGAAGAACGGCGGCUACAAGCUGAUGGAGCUCCUGUAUUCUCGGCUUCCCAAAGAAGAGGUUUACUCCAAGGAAUCCCGCAUUAAUCAAGCCUACUGUCCAUCAGACAAAACAGAGGGGAACGAGUUGUCCAAGACCUUGAUCAAGUCGUGUUUUGAAGCGUUCACUGAGAACAUGGCGGGUGAGACUCAGCUCCUUGAACUUAGGAGACACUAUCACUGCAUAUCAGUAGGAUGUUUGCAAGCUACGAGACCUCCAGUAGUGUUUGCAGUAAAUGUUCAUGCAAUGAUGAGAUAUUAUGAUUUAUGUGCAGAAAUGUAUGUGAAAUUCCUCUUCUUGCAGGGGCUUUCCACCUGAUGGGAAGCUGUGCCUCUCCGAUGUGGUUUUAUGGCUUCUGGAGCAAUGUGGCCGGCCUCGGACGAAGUGUCGCCACAAAUGCAUGGAACUCUUCUAUGAGUUCAUACCCCUCCUCCCAGGAAAGAAGUCUCCACCUCAGUGGCUGGAUGGCAUGCUGAAGGAUCAUGGCAUAGGUUUCGUGAUCUCACGGUUUGAGGGUGGAGGUCUCCUCUCCCAGCCCACUCUCAGGGACCUGAAGGGUCCUUUCAGUGUCAGAGCCAC